UGAGCCCUGCCCAAGAGAGGGUCUUCUGUGAAACUCUCCUUACCCUGCCUCCUCCCUUGCAGGGCACAGUUGAACUGGGGAUAGUGGAGGCACUGUUGGGUCACACGCUAAGGCAAAGAUAUCCUAAAGAGGGGAGUCCAGUGUCUGUGUGCUGGGUGGCUAACUCAGUGCUUGGAAUUUUAUGCUGCUGCUGGUGGCAUACUGGCUUGGGGAGGUGUGAGUGGAGUUAACAUGGUAAGGGCACAUUACCCAGAGAACUGGACCCCCGUGGUGGCAGGAAUAAUUUCUGCAGAGGGUAAGACUGACAACCCAUGAUCCUUCAGGCUGAGAGGAUAGCUAGCAGGCUACAGGGAUGGGAGAGUGGCCCCUAGAUGACAGGGCUCUAGAUGUAGCCAGGGAGACUCUUGCAAAAGAUUGUUGCCCAGUCUUUCAUGAACAGAGAAAUGUGUGUGCAUCAGGAAAAGGCGUGUAUUUGGCAACAAUGAGGCCCAGGAGUAUGGUUGUAGAGUUCAAAGCACAGCACAUGGGAGGGAUGCAGUAACAACAGGUCCGCUCUGGUAAGUUUCUGGACCUGCGAACAGUUUUCUUAAGGAGAAAAGUCCGAAAGACAGAGUUGGAGUUCAAUCUUGGGGACUGAAUCUGUUUUAUAUGAAAAUCAGUCCUGGAGCCAGAGUCAGUUUAGUACCGAGAAUCAAAGUCGCUGCGCGCAGGCGCACACCGUGCUACGUUCUGCUUAUCUCCUCCUUUAUUCCAACCUGCACUCCACUCGCUCCCUUCUUUCUAGGGGGGUGGGAAUGGGGGGAAGCUUGUGAUGUGGCCUUAACAAGCUUCCCAUUCGGCAGUAGGGGAGAGCGAGGGUACGAUGGACAGGGCUCUGGAGCCCAGUAUCCUGAGCUGCGCCACCAGGGUAGACACAGAGGACCCAGGCAAAGAGCUUUGGGUCGAGACAGUCCCUAGACUCGGAGAGGCCAACUCUGAUGGUCCCUGAGUUGGCACCGGUGCCUCAGAACCCUCCCGGACACCAGGCCCAGCGCAACUCAGCAGGGAGAUGCCGGGUACUCCCCCGCCCGCUCUGGGAGGGAAUGUCGGCAAAGCCGGGAAGCUCAGCCCGGUUAUUAAUUCAUUGGGUCGUGUGCCGCUAAUCAAGCCCGACUCUGUGCAGCCACCGUGAAGCCCAGCAGGGUCACUGGGGCCCAGCUUUGUGUCUGCAAGAGGCCAAGUUGUUCCUGAAGCCUCCAGCUCGCCUCCCGGAUCUGCACACCAGCGCAGUCCAGGAGCUCAGAGCAGGGACUGUCACGUCCAAAGGUGGGCUUCCCACAUUGUGAGGGAGGUGGCGUCUCACUUCAAGAGAGACUCCACUCUCUAAACACACCUUACUUCACUCUUCUCCUAACUGGGGGGCGGGGACAGACCCUACUCUUCAAAGCAGAAAACUAUUCUUCAAACCCACACCUGGCCUCCUUUUCCUGGCUAACUCCUAAGCACGUAGGAAAUUAUUCAACCUGGCUCUUCAGGUGGUUCCCCCCACUUCAGCCGGCAGAUCCUGCAGAUCAGGCCCUUGCUGCCUCCCACCCCAGACCCCUGGCCGCGGGCACAACAGCCUGGCACUCUCUGGGGCUUGGACUGCUUUAGGAGAGUGUCUGUCUGCGCUUCCCUCUCCGGAGUUAAUAUUAACCAGGAGCUCCUGCGAUCCAGAACUGCUCAGAAAGUUCCACUGGGGACGGUCCUGCCAUGGUUGAGGGACUUGGGCUCAGUCACUUUAGAGAGACAGACUGGGAGGCAGGAGAGACUGAAGAGAGGGGACCUCGGCCCGAACCAAGUGGUUGUUAAAGGGGGGAUGGGUGGGUGGAAGGGGCGGAUGGCAGGUUCCCCGGAGAUUCCCUGGCUUCACCCCUUCACCUCUAGUCCUGCCUUCUCGCCACCUCCUUCCUUCCCAUUCCCUCUUAUCUCUGCCAACCCGGAAUAAGAACCAGCGAGGGUUGUACCAAGGGGAACUUCCUAGACUGCCACCUUUACAGCCACCCUCAUUUUGGGGGAUCUUUGCAGGGUGGGUGAGAAGAUCCUGGCCUGGCCUUCCCCACCCCCACUUUUGCUGUCUCUACCACCUCUUUUUGUGUUGGGAACCAGAAUGACCACUGCCCAAGGGAGAAAAGUAUUUGUUUUCGUUUCCUUCGUCUAAAGGAACUUGACAGAAGGUCAGAAGUUCAAAUACUGCUCGCGCGCGCACGAGGCGGCGGCGAGAGUGAUCCGUUGUAGGGAGGCUAAGCUCCGGGUCCCUGACUGGAAGGGUGGCGUGAGGGAAAGGACUUAAUUGGGGAUCUCCGUUUAGGGCGCUGAGGCCGAGGGGCCGCGAGGGUGGCGGGGUUGCAGUCCAGGUCAGACCCGCGGGGCUCCCUGCCUUGCGACUUCUCGCGGCUCAACCCCUGCCUGCGCGCCCUAGAGAGUGAGCGCGCUCGGAGCCCUGCGCUCGGGCCCGGCGCACUCCGCGCCUGCAGGGUCAGGGACAAGCCGCCGGAGCUCAACCCCCGCGCGCUGAAACCCUAGCCUCGGGAUCGAUAGCGCAGGAGUAAGCCGGGCUGAAAGGCGUCUACCAAGGCUCGGCGCUCUCCCAGCUCUGCGACACGCAGAGGCCCGGCGGGCCGGACUAGGGAGCGGGCCAGCCGAGGACCCCCUUGCAGACCCAUCCGAGAUGAGGACCCUGCGUGUCCACGACAGGCCUCUUUGCAUUGGUAAUCUUUUCUCUGAUCGCACCUUCCCAAGGACCUCCUUAUCCUGAGAUGCCCCCCCCCCCUCGGGAGGGGAGGCGAAUAGGGUAGCCAGGGGAUGGGUGCCCGGGGCCAGCGGGAGAACUCGCUCUUGCAAGCCGGACCAGUCGGGCGCCCCGCGGUCCGCGCAGAGUUAACUGGCUCGCGCAGCUCCCCGACUCCCGCGCGCGCGCGCGCCCCCACACUCGCGGUCCAGAUUUAAGGUGGUCGGGAGCAGAUGAGGGAGAUGGAGAGAGAAUGGCCCUGUACUCAGCCUCCACGACUUCCUUUUGCUCCAGCUCUGGCCUGCCACCCUAAGACUAGUCUCCUAGGCUUCCCACACAGCAGGUACCCGGUGGCGAGCUGCGCGUCGCGUCGCGUCGCGUCGCGCGGGCUGUUCCACUCUUGUUUUCUCCAGCCCCCGCCCCCUGCACUUGCGCCCCGCCAGCGCCGCCCCUCCAGCCGCUUGACGCACCUAGCCCUAAAGGUAGGACUUGAAUAUUUUAAUAGGGCAGUAAAAAGGAUGCUGACCUAUAUUUGCAAGGAAACCCAUUUCCAGCUCCAGUCAUACGUGCAUGGAGUUUCAGAAAGUCUCGGUUUGGCUGGAAGAUUGGUAGCCUAGAAAUCUCAAAGGAGGUGGGAUGGGAAGAGAGGCUUUGCCUUCCGUCUAUCCACCCUGGUCGCCGAAUAUUUAUUCGCGUCUAAUUCUUAUGCAAGCAGGUUGAAAAUUAAAGGGAUUGCAAAGCCAGCAAGUUCCAAGUCCCUCCCCUAAGGUACCGCGGGCUCUGGAGAACUGAGGAGCAUCCUUAAAGAAAUAUCAAUACAUUCUCGACCGGCACAAUUGAGGACGACGGGAUCGCAGUCAGGCUACGCGAGACAGUGGGGACAAGACGGGCGACUCUGGAGCUUCUGCCUUUUGUCACAAUUGCCCUCUCCUCAGCUUUCCCAGUUACAGUUCUUUGGGAAGGAACCCGUUUCCCACCCGCAAUGGGUCUCUACCUGAGUCAUCAGCCGGUCUGCUCCAGUGUUUUCCUCAUCCUUAAAUAUGAUGUCGGGGUUGUAAUUGGGGGUGAGUUCCUUAAAUCGUUCGGAGUUUCUUGUGAUCUUCCCUUCAUAUCGGCCGCUGGCCCCUAGGGUCUUCUCGGCUACGUUGGGGAUAAACUGCUUGUAGGCUAAAGGGGUCAGCUUUUUGGGGUGCCGCCUCUUUCCAAACCCCCUGCCGGGCCCACAGGCCAGUCCGGGGCACACCAGCAGCGAGGAAGCAAGGGCCACCAGAAAACAUCUGGCCAGCAGCAGCAGCAUCUCGUCCGCGGAACCUGAGGACUUGCGAGCCGUCCCCGCGCCGGUCUGUGCGCGAGCUGGUACGCGCGGGUGUGUGCGUGUGCGCUCCUCCUUGCGCUCGGCUCUCCCUUCCUCGCUCGGCUCGUUCGUUCCCUCUGGCGCUGCCUGGCUCUUUCUCUUCCUAUAUAACCUUGCCUGCUGUUGCUGCAGGGGACUUGUCUCCGAUCCCCACCCAGACAGGGGCUGCGAUGGCAGGCUGCCGGUCGCUGGUAACGGAACACAUCGGAGUUGGGUCUCGAGACGGCAAUUAAAAGACAAAAAGAGCCUGAUUUUAAAUGGUAGCAAGGCUGGAGAGCUUGUGAGACAGGCUGCCUUUCGCACUAUAUUAUAGCUGGCAGGGGCGCAUCUGAUUGGCCAAGCCGCACAAGCUUGUCUUCAGAUGUUAACCCUGAGAAAGACUACAUUUCUCCCCCCUCUGGCUGCUGUGGCUUUAUUUUCACCUGAAGGCUUCUAGUUUGAAAAAAGGAAAGAAAAGAAAAGAAAAGUCUUUACUAAGGAAAAAGAAAAAUUUCAAGAAAAGUCUUAAGCCAGAAAAAUAGACCGUGAAACUCCCUGUUUUUAUAGAUGAUGGGAUUCUGCUCUGGCCUUUCUCCCUUCCCACUCACAGGCAAGAUUCCUCUAGGAUGAGCAGUAGAGGUGAGCUAUUCAUGAGGAAUGGAGUACCUACUCAGGGAUCGAGUCCUCCAGUGUUGUCCCAUGGGACCAGCCUCUGGCUCCUGAUCCUGUCCCAGUGCAAGCUCAACCUUCAGUGGGGUGUUUCAGAGGUUCCCUUUGCUUAGAACCUUGGUUGCUUUUGAGUUGGUGUGAGGAGAGGAAAGUGCUUGCUACUCCCUAGGAUGAGUCUCAACUGGCAGGAGGGCAGAACCUCACUGUCCCAGGGUGGGAAGGGGUUGACUAAAGCUCUCACACCUGCCCUCUCUGGAGUUCUCUAUCCUUUGAUUUAUGAGGACCAAGUGCAGAUUCUUAGUGGGAGUUGGUCCCAGCUUCGUGUAGGCCAAAUAAGAGCCAGUCUCUCCAGCCUUUAAGUACCAGGGGUGGGGGGGCAACCGGGAAAAAUAUAUACAAAAGGGACCCAGUGUUCUUGCCCCAGGAGGGCGGGUCUGCAUGGCAUGUAGCUGUAAUAUUACUAGCUGGUGCUGGGCCUGAGAAGACCUGAGCAUCCUGGAGCCCCAUCUUGCCUCCCUCUCUUCUUGUUCUCUGUGCAUGCUGACCAGCACUCUCUUCUUGAUGUCUUUGGAUAUAGACUGGUGCAUGGAUCCUGCACCAGCUCUCCUCGGCAUCAGAUGGAUAAGCGGAUGAGAUUUGAAGACAAACCCCUAAACUGCCUGCGUUCCAUGUGGGCACAACUGGCCUAGGAGUGCCCAGACAUAGUCAGCUCCCUCUUGGCUGUGGGGAAGGAGGUGACUUGGUUAUGCUCUGGCCUAUUGUCUGCCCCCACUCCAUCUCUAGGGACAAGAGAUGCUAGUUCCAGGAGAGUCUGGCAAGGGCUGGCCUUCCUGGAACCUGGGAGGAUCUUUAGAAGGAAAAUGAAGGGUUAUUUGCUAAACCCUGUUGUUUUUUUCCUUGUACCUAGGGGCAGCUUGCUUCUUGCUCCAGGCUGCAGACCGUUUGGAUAAAAAGCAAUCACCGUUCAUAUUUGUUGUCUUGAGAAUGAGACCAGGAGCCUGGCCACAGGGGAGUGGGGUGGGGGGACAUGUGGCCUUUCUUCUCUGCCUCCUUCCCGGUGAAUCCCUCCCACUCCCCACUUCCCAGACACCAGACACUUGCUGCCUUCCACCUCCAGACACCAGAUGGCUCCCUCUCUUUGCUCUCCCCUCUAGACCAUUUGGGCCCCUCCCUGUGCCUGCAAGAGGUUCCAGAGUCCAGCCUCUGCCUGGUGGGGCCAGCCAUCCCCUCAACUCCCAGGGGCUACUUUUCAUUCGUCUAGCUCUUCCUCCUGCUGGGCUUCGGCAGGCUCUUACCCUUCGAGCACCUUUCCAUCCUUCACUCUGAGGAGCACUGGCCAAUCUUUGUGUCUGCCCCACCCCCCAAGAGGCAGUGUCCUGGGCAUGGCCCCCUCCCCCUUCCAGCCCCUGCCGCUAGAUGGCGUCCUCACUCUGCCUUCAACUCUGGCCUGCCGGGUUGGGGAAAUUCUGCAGUCUCCAGUUGGAAAGUCCUGGAAGCAGGACUAGGCUCUUUGGCUCCUCCUCUGUUCUCUGCCACCUGUCUUUCCUUCCCAACCCUUACUUCCCUUUCCACAGUUUCCACAGUUUGAGCUAGGGAUCCCAGCCCAGUCCGUGCCUCCUGGCCUCUUCUCUUUUCCUGUUUUCUCUCCCAGUUGACUUCUCUUUCUUUGACAGCUCUGUCACCAUCUCAUUCUGCCCAAUCACACAGUUACGUCUCAUUUUCCUCCUGAAUUUUUUUCAGUUUUGGCAAAUAGAGUUUUACCUGCUCCAGUUUGUUCUCUGGGGCGAAAGCUAGGGGAGAGGAAAAUUCUACAGUCAAGGAGAUACCUACAGUCUGGGAAAGCUGCUUUGGUGCUAAUGGUCAGAGAAUCACAUGCUAUAUCAUACUUUGUCUACGCCCUGUCCAUCCUUCAGUGGGUUCUGUGUAAGGUGUAAGCCAUGACUGUUUCAUUUUGGGUCCAAAUAGGCCUCAGCUCUCUGAGCCUUUAGAGUCUCCAAAUGGUUUCUGGUCCACUACAGAGCCACCAGGUACAUUUGUGACUUGGAAAGAGGAUGUAGGCAGGUGGCCUGCUGUAUGGCCUAGAGGACCAAGGGAUGGGUCUGGAUGUCAUAACCAGUUCUUCUGACCCCAGUUUGGGCAUUUCUUUACCACAGCUGCUGUGGUACUCCAAAAUGCCAUCACCUCUUUCCCUCCGGUCUUGUAGCUGCUGAAGCACAGAGGCCCCUGGGAAAGAGGGACCCUACCAUUCUCCUUUGAAGCCAAGCCAAGAGCAUGAAGCGGUGAAGCUUACGGUUCAUGCCUGCUGUGGUAUAGAGAAGAGGAGAAAAAGGGCUGGCAGGACGGAGCCAGACCCUUUCUCUAGGAGGCUUCAGGCGACCAGGAAACCAGGUGGACGGGUACGGACUGCUUCUUCCUCUGCGGCAGGAGGGUUUUGCAGAGGAUUCUGCUGGUUGAGAAGUGGUCACUCACUCCAGAAAGAACCGCUUCCAUCAGAUGCUGUGCAGCUCUGCUGAGUGUUGUGCCAGCCUCAAGAGUCAUGUCACGGUGGCCACCCGGAUCCUGGGACUGGGACUGGAGGCUGGACAACAGCAGGGCGCUGCAGAAGAUUGCUUUCUCCGAAGAGAGGACAUCUCUUCCCCUCUGUCUCUCACCCCACCCUUCAGUGACCAGGGGAUUUCACCUCUUUGGGGGCUGGGUUCUUCAUUUUUGACUGUCCUACACAGAGAGGGUCUCCAGGCCUGAAGUCACAUGUCACCUAGAACUCAGGUUAGCAAAGCUUCCUUGCUCAGUGUUGCACGUUGUCUUUCAGUUAGACUUGCACUGAAUUUCAGUUUACCAACACGAACAACCCCACUGAGGAAACGAGCACAGAGUUUGUAUAUUCUGUCCUAUCCCGCAGAGAAUCUAUGGCAGGAACAUCAGCAAUAGCAGUCCCCGAGCCCCAGAGCCUGUCAUACAUCUCCAGCUUAUGAUCUGUGGGGCCCAUGGCUGUAUCAGCAGAGGGGAAGCAAGGAAUGGAAGCAGAAAAGGAAGCAUGAACGUGCACUUGUAAAGAUAAGGCACAGAGGAAUGUGUGCAUCUUGGGGCUCAGGUAAAAAGUGGUCCAGAAUCAGAGAUGCUGAGGAGAAAACUAGGGGUGUCUGAGAGUGGUUCUCCUCAGCUGCUCUGUCCUGUCGCUUCUUGCAUUGGGCACACAGGGUCACUAUUCUCUCUCCGAGACUCCAUCCUUACCAUUGCCCUGGAGGGGCAUGUUUCCUCACAAAGAAAGGUGACCUCACCCACGGGCACCAAGCCAUGUGUGAUCCGUGUGCCCCUGAUGCUGACUUUAGCCCUGGCCCCUCAACCACCUCCCUUCUUGUCUGAUGUAAGAGUGUUUCCAAGAAGAAUACUGUGUGCCCGAUAGACACUGUGGGUUCAGGACUAGGCAUGUCCACGUUGAAUUUUUGUGAUGCUUUAACCAGGAACGGAGGGCUCUUGCUGCUGUCCUCAGAGGUUAGCUUGUUUUGAGGGCUCCAGCUUCUCUGUGGUGGCCUGGAUGGGCAUCGUGGUUACAAAGGAGAGAUUUGUAGAUGUUGCUUCUGGUUCCUUUUCAUGUUGCUGGGAUGAAGUGCUACGGCAAAACAACUUGAAGGAGUUGCUCUUGAUUCACAAUAGGGAAGUCCUCAGAGCAGAGUAGGUGGCAACGGGCCAAACCGCAUUUUCAGUCAGGAAGCAGAGAGAUGAGCGCUGUUGCCAGGUUCACUGGCUUCCAUUUAUGCAUUGCAGGGCUUAAGCCCAGGGAAUGGUCCCAUGUAUGGUGGGAAGAUCUUCUUAUCUCAACUAAUCUAGCAAACAAGUCAUCCACUAUAGACAUGCCCAGAGAGCCUUGGUCAGGGUUCCUCAGUGGUUGUCACAUCAGGACAGCGAGUGUCAAGUCCUAUGGUCUUUGGUUGGUACUUCUUAUGGCCAGGGUUCCAUGUAUCAUGUACCUGCUGCUAUGGAGAAUGGACAGGGAACCUGGUGAUGGUCCCUGUGGCUAAGGUGCUCCUCUCUCCAUUGUAACGUUAAAGCUUUGGCAGAGUUCAGUUUUCAGAUUAUUCUUAGAUUAUUGGUGUGUGAGAUUCAGGUGACAUGUAUCUUCAAGCAGGUGUUGUGACUGCUCAGGGCUGAGUCUAUGUCAGUUCCUCUUGAGGCAAGUUGCUUCUGUCUGUGAGUCUGGCAGCUGGUUCCUACAUGCUCAGUAUUGAGUGCUUGGGUAGCCUUACUACAUGCUUGUGUGCCUGUGUGCCUGGUCUAUAUGCUAUGUGCAGUGGGCAGCUUAAAACAAGAGUCUUAAAGAGUGGACACGAAAAGCAUGUGACUUGCUGGUGGGGUUUGUUUUGUUCGAAGGACUGAGCUGUGCCAUAGUUUUGUUUUGGUAUCUGAGAUGGCACUCAACUCAAAUGGCAGAAACCUUGGCCCCUACUUGACAGUCUGUAGAAUACCUUCUCACUGGGCCCCCAGCAUCUCUGGUGUCAGGGAAAGUGCGAAACCAUGUACAUCUCAUAGCUGCCAUUGAAGAAUUUCCAGAAAGAUUUCCAGUUAGAGAACCAGGAUCAGACCUGGAAGGAUUUCCUUUGGCUCCAGGUUGAUGUAAAAAUGAGUCCAGGAACCUCAUUCUAAGCUUUUGAUUAACUUCAAUGGGAAGAUUCUAGAUUCUACAUCCUUGACCUUUGCAGAUGGAGACCUGCUCAUGCUUGGGGAGCCCUCUGUCUUUGCCGUGGCUAUCUUGGGCAGGAGUCAUUCCUAGUGCAUUGUGUCUGCACUUUCGCCUGCUGCCCUGCAUGAGGCUUCCAGCCCUGCCACUGUCUGCUGCCAUUCCCUGUGGUGCCAGACAUUGAGCUUCUUGUACGUGGACUGCGUACCAGUGGCCUGUGUUGUUUCUUAUAGCCAAGUGCUCUCCUGGGAGCUGAACUCUGACAUCAAGACUGUGUCAGCACACCUCUGCACUUCUAGAAGGGUCUGUUGGUCUCAUUCAUCUAAGUUCCUAGCUAAGAUGAUGUUCAAUAAAUAUUGAUCACUGGAUGAAAGUUUCUUAUCAGUGCAGCACACUCUAGUGGUUUCUAUUUGGAAAGGAAUUCAACAAAAAUAAACUAAGAAAACCAGUUUGGUUUCACUGUGAGGCCAAAGGCAGCUCAUAGUAGGAUGAGCCAACUGACUUUGGAGAGGCCAUUUCUUUAGCUUGGCUAAGAAGAACAUUCAAUGAAACUUGAGUUUCUCUCAACAAUUCUACUUCCUGUCUUUCUCAUCCUGUUUGAAGAGUAAAUAAGAUAAACCAUUGUCGGCCAUCAUGUAGUGGAUCCAACUCUUUAGAAAGUACUCUCCUACUUUGUUCCCCCUUUUUCUUUUUUCCUGAGAGAGUCUCACUAGGUAGACCUGACUGGUCUGGAACUAUGUAUAUCAGGUUAACCUCAAAUUCCUGUUACUUUUUCGGGGCACAGACACAUGUGGCUGCUUUAUGCAUAAGACCCCCGUAGUGACCUAGCACCGCCGACAGGCAGCACAACUCAUAACUGAGUUUCCGGAUGGCAUCGGGUCCCCUAGGUAACACUUCCAGGUGGUACAGCAGCCACCAUGGUCUCCAAAAGACAGGAAUCGUGGCUGGAUUCUUAGCUUAGUCUCUGCUUUAGGGGUCCAGGGAGAUCCUCUUCUCUGCCUUGGAAUGGGGGUCUCAGUGAGCUGUGCCAUCCGUAACUUUGUAACUCUCCUAACCUAUGGCUUGACCUUCCAGGAGGUCCCAGCUUCUAGUUCAGGCACUGUCCAGCACUCACUCAAAGCCAUUUCCUUCCCCUCUAAGGACUGCUAUGAACUGACUCCCUUGGAGGGAGCUGGCUCUUUCUACCAGCAGCCUCUUCAUAGCAGGAGGAGACUCCUCAGAGCCUGUUCCCUGGAAAGUGCCUGGUGCCACUUUUUCACAGAUGGGAGGGCUGGGGAGCCUAGACAGCAUCUCACUGGGGGAGGGCAGGAUGCCAAGAGAGACCCAGAGGUAUGAGGAGGAGCCAAACUCCACUUCUCCUCUGGCCUUUUCAGUGUGAGGUGGCUUGCCCCAAAGUACACAGACCCUUAGAUGAAUCCAGCUCUCUGUUUGAGUGGCACCCAGACAAAGCCUGCCCUGGGGAUGCUGCUCCGCUCCCUCCCACCAUGGUAACUCUGGCAUUCACUGGACCAUGGGAGCAGGCCAAGUAUGCGUGUGAUUGUCUCGAUUCUCUUGUUUCUUCACAUUGGCAGACGGUGUUUGAAUGUUGCGUACAUGUUUUUCUUUCUCAUCCUGACAUAUUUAUACCCUAGUUUUGUUUUGUUGUAUUUGGCCCGGUGGAGAAGGGAUGUGUGUGGGAGGUGACAGAGUGGCCGGGACACCCUUUGUAUUAGAUUUGUUGUGAAUGCCCAUCUAAGGAUCUUAGAAUUUGAUCACAGAAGGAAGGGACUUGGAAGCAUUCUUAAAACUGCAUGCCAAUGUAAUCGCACGGCAUUUUGAUCCAGCUAUUAAUGAAUCAAAUGAAGCAGGUAUAAAGGCUUCACAUACCUCAGGCAACAGUUCCAUAAAGGAGGAAGUAAAACACAUAAUUAGGCAAAUCAAAUAAGGCACGGAAACAGCUUUCAAAUAUUUAGUCACAUGUCAUUUCCCAUUAGUUUACUGUGUGCUUAAAUGAGCCUGUGGUUUUAUGGCCUGGUUAAGAAGAGCGGCAACUGCAGACGCAUGGCUUUCAAAGGUGGCUUCCUCACACCUCAGGGUGUGGAGCAGGGCCGGUUAUACCUAACUGAAGGGGAGAAAGAGAAUAGGCCUUUCCAAGGAUGGCCUGGAGAAUGCCAGCGUCACAUAAACAUCAGUUCAUGAGGCUGCAGCUAGAGGGGUCUCUGGGGCACACCCUCCAUCCCAUUUCUGUGAGGUGGAUGGUCUUUUGAACAAUUACGGAACUUUUGUUCAAAUCUGCUGCAUUGUGACAACUAUUGGUCAUCCUAUCGGUCGCCUUUCUUUGUAUAAAUAAUCAAUUCUAAUCAGUAAUUGCAUCUGGGCAACAGUUCAACUCUGCUGUCAUCUUUUGGCUCCCAGCACCAUGACUCUGAGGGCAGCAAUACACUUUACUAGAAUGGUACUCAAGGCCAGACAGCAUUUAUUCUUAUGUUUAACCAUCUGGUUAACACACUGUAGCUUCAACUCCAUCUCCACUGUACGGAAAAGAAAGGCGGAUACAAGGCAGAAUCUUUAGAAUGAUGACUCCAUGAGCUCCCAGAGAGGGGGUACCGACCACCUCUCUUAGUUUUCAUAACUGCAACCUGGGAUUAUUGAAGAGACUUCUUGGGCAAGUUUCUUCUCUCUCUUUCUCUCUCUCCCCUUCUCUCUCUCUCUCUCUCUCUCUCUCUCUCUCUCUCUCUCCCUCCCUCCCUCCCUCUCUCCUUCCUUCCCUCCCUCCCUCUCUCCUUCCUUGCUAAGGUGUUUGAUCCUGAACAGAAGGGAGGACUGAGGGAUAAAAAAUAGCUGUUAAGUCAAAGACAAACCCAAAAACUUCUGCAAAGAGCUUUCAAACCCAAGGCCUUAUCUGCACGAAUGAGUAUCAGGUGGGAAGGGAACUCGGCCAAGGCAAACAGGUGUGGAUGCAAAGCCAGCAUUAGCUAGGGCAAUGGUGAACCUCACUCCUUUGCUCUGAGCCUUGACACUGCGAUGCAGAUCAGCCUACUAAUGGACUUGUAUGCUAGACUUACCUGUGGGGUUGCUGUCUAAUUUGGCUUUAUACUUUCUUAAAUUUUAUGGUUAAAGGUCCAAUCAUCUGAUUUAUUGAGUAAGUUGUUCUCGGGCACCUUAGCUAGAUUUAACCUUAUGUUACACAACUCUAAUCCCAACUACUGCUAAGGUUGUGGCAGGACAGUAAAUUUAAGGCCACCUGAGCUACAAAGUUAAUCCAAGGUCAGCAAGAAAAACUUAGUGAGACCCGCUCUCCAAAAAUGCUAAGGAAGGCUUGGUGGUGGACAACCCGCCUAGCAUGCACACGGCCAAGUAGCAGAGAAAAGAAAAAUAAGCUUAAUGAAAAUGAAGGCUGUCCGUUCUUAACUGUCACCCAAGGUUUGGGCAGGAGCACUGGGGCGCCACGGACUACAGAACCACAGGAGCUGGUUUAAAUCAGAUAUGACUGCCACAUGCUUUUAGGGGUAUUUUAAGUGUGACAAUGUCCCCUCUUCCACACACCCCCUCACUUUCUCCCUCCUCCUUUCCUCUCUUCCUCCCUCUCAAGAUGGAGAAGAAAAACAAUUCCAUUGUUUCAUUAGAGAAAAAAUGGCAUUUGCUCCUGGUACAAAAGUUUGUGGGAGAUGUGCUGUGAAGGAAUAAGAACCCUAUUAAAAUAUUUAUAAAUCGAAACAACCUCAGAAGCCACAUGCUCUAUUAGGCCUCUCAGUGUUCUGUUCUGAAAGCCAGAUAAAUCAUCAUUUGGAGAGCAAGGAUGAAAAAUCCAAACAGACACAGAGCUCCGAGGGCUUCAGUAAGAGGAGGCCAUCCAGGCAGGGCCAUGGAUAGCCCAGCAAGCCUUGGCACUUCUGACUCAUCAAAAAAGGAGAAAGAGGGGGAAAUGUGUGUGCUUUGUGCCUCCAAAGAGCAUCAGGAGGCAACUAGUUGUCUGCUAUGGGCUUCUGAUCCAUUACAGGGGAGUGGAGGUUGUCUGAACUGAGCCCAGUUGGGUGGACAUGGCACAGGGUACGGAGCUCCCACCUAGACCAGAUACCACUCUGGCCCCAUGUUGGCUCCUUUCAACCACCCCAUGGGGUUUGGAGGGAGACUAGAAUUUCUGGGUGUCCAGAAGCCUGCAUGCUCACAGGUAUAGCUGUUGUUGCCUAUUCACACAAUCAGUUAGUCCACUGCUCCUGAUACUGAGGCAAUGCCAACUCCAUCCUUUAGUGCAAACACGAGGCCCAUCCUGUGCAGAUCCCAAGAACAGACUGCUUGCUUCUUAAUGGCAGGGAGCCAGAGGCUGAGCAUCAUACCAUACCAUACAGUGCCUACACAUGUAUCAUACAGUAUGCACGUGCACACACACAUGCACUCACGCACGCAUGCACACGGAGCCAAUGGCCUCUACAGUCUUAGGCAAAUGUCGUCGUCUUCUUCUUCUUCUUCCUCCUCCUCCUCCUCCUUCUCCUUCUGAUUUGGACACAUGGGUGGUAUAGGUCACUUUAUUCUGCUUGGAGUCAGUACUAGGACCUUCUUGUCUCCUUAGCAGCAGCAGCCAAGCUCUGCUUAGGGCUUCAUACCACUUCAGUGUCACAGACUAGUGUCCACUGCUGCAUUCUCUACCCAGCAGAGUCCCUGCUUAUGUGUUUGAAAGUUCUAUCUCCCUUAGAGGCCAUCUAAGGUUUGAUUCUCUUACAGGAAUACGUCAGACUUUCAGAGAACUAUAAGUUACUGUCUAGUAUAUUUGCAGCCUAGAUGAUCAGAUCUCUAUUUGGUCCGAUCUUUGGCAAGAAUGCUCAUCCAAGAUCCUGAGGCAUUUGCUAACCAGAAGGUGACAGUGGAAGGCCAUCCCAUUUUUCUGUUUCUUCUGAGUUGUGGGUGUUUAGACUUACUGAGAAAGAUGUCAGCUGGGGAGCCAUCAUGGGACCCAAACUGGAACCAACAUAGUGACUCAGCAACUCCACUAGUGAGAAAUGAGGUCAGUGAACUUAAGGGAUGUAUGUCCCGACAGGCUCAUCCCAGCAAAGAUAUGGAGGCAAAGAUGUGGAAGUAACUGAAUGCCCAUAAAGGAAACAGAUGGAUAAAAAUUGGUGUGUACUCACUGUGGGAUAUUACUCAGCCUUGAAAAAGGAGAAAAGUCCAGACAUUUUCAAGAACAUAGAUAAGCCUAGAAGGCACAAUGUGACUGGAAGAUGGCCAGACAUGCUGGUUUGAACAAGAAUGUCACCCAGAGUUUCUGGCAUUUGGAUACUUGGUCCCCAGUUGGUGGCACUGUUUGGGGGGAAGUUUCAGAGGUGUGACCUCAUUGGAAGAAGUGUGACAUUGGAGGAAGGCUUUGAGAAUUAUAAGACUGGAACCAUUUCGAAUUAGCUCUCUCUUCUCUUUUUGCUUGGGGAGAUGUGAGGCUUUAGCUAUUCCUUCUGCUGUGACUGUUGUCUGUUGCCACAAUUCCCUGCCAUGAUGGGAACCAUAACCCAAAUAAAUCCUUUCUUCUAUAAGCUGCCUUGUUCAUGGUGUUUUAGCCCAGCAACAGAAAAGCAACAGAUACAGAAGUGGAAUCUAAAGCCAGCUGAGUGCACAGCAACAAUCACAGAAGGGCGAUUGUCAGGGCCUGGGAUGGUGACAGAGGUCAAAGGUUACUGCAGCUCUCCUACAUGCCGGGGACUAUACAGUCAGGAGUAAUGUUACAUGCUUAAAACUGGCUCAGAGAAUCAAUCUCAAGUGAUCUCAAGACAAGAAUAAGAAGCAGGUGAGGGGAUGCACGUGUGAAUUAAUGUUGUGACAGUCAUUUUAUCUCUCAUAUAUGUAACUGAGCAUAUAGCUGUGCUUGCUGUGUGCUCACUAAGACCCAUAUAAAAGCUACACUUAGUGCCAGUGGGCAGGGGAGAGGAGAUGAGAGACAGGAGCAUCCUGGAACUUGCUGGCCCGUCAGUCUAGCUGAGUAUAUAUAUAUAUAUAUAUAUAUAUAUAUAUAUAUAUAUAUAUAUAUACAUAUAUAUGUAUAUAUAUAUAUACAUAGUGAAGAAUAACUGAAGAAGACUGAUGCUAGCCUCUGGGUCUAUGUGGACAUACACUACCACAUACAAAUCACACCAAAUGACUGAAGCAUGUAUAAUUUUAUUGGCUAUCUAUAUCUCUGUAAGCCUGGAACAAGGAAGGAAGUCCAUAGUCCUGGGACCCAGGGCCCUGUAACCUCUUCUUUGUAGGUGCUUAGCUUACCGAUGCCUUGUGCCCAUCCUUUCUUGAGGAGAGAGGGCAUUCUUCCCCUCUUGCUGUCUCGCUUCCAAUGCCUCUUGCUGACUGGAUACCCUGGGGGCAGCUGCAGGUAACCUUCACAGAAGAGCUGAUUGCUGCUGGAAUAACUGUCCAGCUCAGUGCCCUGCCCCCCAUGAUGACCUAAGUCAUGCCACCGGGGGCUGGUGCUUUAAUAGAACCUCUGUGCAUGGUCAGCAGCAGCUCCUGGCACAUCCUCCAGGGACUCAGCUCUUGGAGGGAUCAAUGCUAUCCACUGGCUAGGUGACUGCCCUGCAGGUGACCAGGAACAGCAUGGGCUUAGACAUGGCCCCAUCCUUCUCUCAGAGUGGUUGGCUGUAUCUGGAGUGAGACUCUGAGUGCUUUGUCUCCUGUGACGUCAACAGCCCUGGAAUAACCAGUUGCUGUCCCCUUACCCCAGGCCUGUUGCUCUUAUGUGUGAUGGUGUGGGUCUCUAUGGAUGGUGAGUAGGAAGCCAGACCUGGUGAGGCACUGUUUGCCAGACACAAAUGGGAGGCUGUGAGCAGGUCCUUAGGGUAAGUUCUGAGGCAGUGGGAGACCCUGGAGGGAGGCUUGGGCUGAACAGCAGUUAGUAGAGGGAGCGUAGGCAGUAGGUCCAGGGAGGUUAAGUCCUGGGCCACAUACAGAGCCUGACACUGAGGUGGCUAGGUCAGAGUCUCAGUCCCAGCCUCCAUUGUGCAGGCAACGGAGGGAAUUGCUGCAUGUUGGUUGGGCUGUGAGGCUGGUCGAUCUCCAGGUUAGGCUGCUUUGAUGUCUGGCUAUGACUUGAGUCAUUACCAAGUAGUGCUUCACUCAGAAGAUGGUGGGUCUCUGGAACACUUUGUCAGACUUGUCCUGAGGCCCUUUUCUGUCCUUCUCCACAUGAGAGGCUUCUGCCUUGGUACUUUUGUGCAUCUGGCCACCUAAGUUGGGUGUACCCGGCCAGGGACUGGAGCUACUGAAGGGGGACCCCGCUGCUACUCCAUUUGUCUUUGCUGUGGCCAGCAUGGCACAUCUCUGAACCAACAGUGGUCUGAUGGUCUUGUGGUCCCUUGUUCUUCAGAUAGGUCAUCUUUAAAAAUGGUAGAAAGUAACAAAAGACGUCAGAUCUGUGAGGUACUGAGGACCCACCCACUGCCACUGGACUCUCCACUUUGGUGUCACCUUAGAGCAAGCCAUCUGGAAUGUUCUAGAAAGCCUCUGCCAGCCUGACUUCUGGAAAUGAUGAUUUGAAUUGUUUGGGGGUGGUGCAGCCUACUGGUCUUUUCCUAACGAUUCUGAUGGGUCACUGGGAGGAGGACUCACUGUCUCAGCCUUAAGGAGCCCAGGUAUAUGGGAGGGGAGUAGCCAGCGGUAGAGGAGCUGCCUGGAGCUGCAGGCAGUAGUUACACUCUGUCCCCAUCUGGUGACUCACUUACAGUCAGGGUUUCCUUUUGCUGUGAUAAAACAGAGCAAUGUGGAGAGGAAACAUUAUUGUUUCAGCGUACAGCGUACAGCUUGUAGUCUAUUAUCCAGGGAUGGCAGGCCAGGAGCUCAAGGCAGGAACCUCGAGCCAGGAAAUGGUACCACAGGCCACAGAAUCAUGCGGAUCACUGGCUGGCUCCCCAUGGCUUGCUCAGUGCGUUCCCUUACAAUAUCUAGGACCACCAGCCCAGGGGUGGAGCCACACACAGUGAGCUGGGCCCUCCCACAUCAAUCAUCAAUUACUAAAUGCUCCACAGGUUUACUUUCAGGCCAACCUGGUGGGGGGAUACUCUCUAUUGAGUUUCCCUUUUUCCAAAUGACUUUAGUUUGCAUCAAGUUGAUAUAAUAGAAAAAAGUUUUUUUGGGAGGGCCUUUGGAGUAACUUAAAAUAAUACUUACGUCCUUGUUGGAGAGAUGGCUCAGUGGUUGAGUGCUUGUGAUAUUCUUGCAGAAGACCCUCAUUCAGUUUACAGCCUCUAUCCACAUGGGGACUCCCGAGGUCCUGCUCUAUCUCGACUGCUGUGAGACAGCAGGAGGGUGCCACUGUGCCACGCAUUUAAGUUCUUGAAGCAUUUGCAAUCUUUGCUAAUUGCAUAAUGAUUUUUUUUGAGACAGGGUUUCUCUGUGUAGUUCUAGCUGUCCGAGAAUUCGCUCUGUAGACCAGGCUGGCUUUGCACUCAGAGAUCUGCCUGCCUCUGCCUCCUGAGUGCUGGGAUUAAAGGCGUGUGCACCACUGUCUGGCAGCACAUAAUGAUAUUUUUGCUUCCAGAGUGGUUUGCAGCAUGUUAGUACUUUGGUCAGUCUUGGGGGGUGGGGCAUAGCAGCUCCAAUCCUAUCCUUUAGAGACCUCUUUGCCUGACUUCCCAUGGAUGGUUGUUGGGAACCAGAGUCUACUUCCCCAGGGCAGAACUCUUAGUGUCUUGGGAACUUUGUGGCCCCUGGGCUGCAUGGUGACAGCUGGUGGGCUGACCUCCCAUAUGGGAGGCUCUUCCUGAGACAGCCUAAGACUACAGAGAAGCUCAGUGUUUCUAGCAGAGGAAGCUGGAGGUAUGGCUACCUUCUUCCCAGGAGGCGUUCUGUGAGUCCAGGCUUCUGGCCUGUCUUGGUUGGAGAGCCCUUGUAUAGUGAGGCCCUUGUUCAUGUGCAAGGACAGUUGACAAAGGACCUGCAAGCAGCGUCCCAAUGCUGGAGAGGGCAGGUGUACUCCCAGUUCUGCACUCGAUCUGUAAGGAGGGAAAGAUCACAAGGAACGAUGACCACUCAUGGGGAAGGGCCAGGGGCUUCCUGGUAGCAGAAUGGCGGUGGGGGCCUUACCCCUUACAUAGCAGUCUCCUUAUAUAGUAGUCUCCUUACAUAGUAGUUUCCUUACAUAGUAGUCUCCUUACAUAGCCAUGACUGGCUUAGAUUUUCCUAAGUCUGAGUUUGGGAGUCAGUUGCAUACAUUAUGAAUCCCCACUAAAAAGAAAAAAAAAUCCCCUCCAUUGAGAUUUAGAACACUUACUAUAUUUUCUUAAGGUAUAGAAGUCAGUAGGGCUUAUCAUCUUCAGAGAUUAUUACAGCUCUCACAGCUCAAAAUUUAGAAAAUUGUUUUUGUGCAUAGUGUGUCUGUUCAUUUUGUGUACAGGUACAUGCAUGUAUGCAUGCGUGUGUGUGUGUGUGUGUGUGUGUGUGUGUGUGUGUGUGUGUGUGUGAGACGUGUGUAUGUGUGAGAGGCAAACUCUGUGUUCUUCCCCUGGCCUCCACGUUUUCCCCCCAAAUAACAGAGCCUCUCAUUGGCUCAGAGUUCACUGAUUAGGCUGGGAUGGCCAGCAAGCCCAGGGACCUGCUUGCCUUGGCUUCCACAGAAUUGGGGUUACAAGCACAUGCCACCACACCAGGGCCUUUCAGUAUGGGCUCUGGGGAUAGAACUCGGGUCCCCAAGCUUGCACUUUAUCGACUGAGCCAUCUCUAAGUCCUUGAUAGAUUACCAUUAGCUGUGUGACUCCUCUUCCUAUGACCCCGAUCCUGGGCAAGCACGCAUCUAUUCUGUCCACCCCAGUCCCUUGCUGUGCACAAAUCUGAAACGGAACAGCAUCUUGUGUGGGCUCCUGUUUGCCUCCUUUCAAGUGGUGUGGUACACUCUAGGUGUACCUUUCAUUGUAACAUUGGUUUCUGCAAUUGAGCUGUGUCUUGCUGCACAGAUAGGCCAUCUUGUAUCCACACCUCCACCAAGAUCACCUGAGUUUAUGUUGGUGGCAGUUUUGACUAUUGUACAGGGUGCCACUGUGACCUUUGUGUUCGGGUUUCAAUGUGAAUAUGAAUUCAGUUCUUAAGACAGUUUCUAGGUGGCUUUUCAGGAGCCAGCUGAAAAGUCAGAGGGAGUUUGAAAGAUGCUAGCAGGAAGAGGGCUUGCCAGAAGGAUGUGGGCACUGGUCCCUCGGGUGGCCCUAGAUCAGGCAGCAAUUUGCAGUUACUACACACUACAUAGCUUGCCUGUCAGGAGGGCUGACCCAGCAGUGGUCUGUGUUCUUUCUACAGUUCUUGAAAACUUCAUGUAUAGUAAAUGUUACCCUGAAAACAUAUGGACACAUGUGUGGGAACAUAGUCUGCAAACUGUCCUGAAGUCACCCCUCCUGUUCUCUAAUCUUCAGGAUAGGCCUAGCACAGUCACGUAUUGAAGAUGGAGUUAUGAGUCUGAGAGGGAGUUGACCUGUCCAGGUGUAGGAGGCAGAUCUGGGUGAGAGGAGCACAGCUCCGGCUUAGCUUUCCUUGGCUACCCUAGACUGGGGUCUCUUGCCUAGGCUCCUAGGGAUCUUGCUUGUGCUCAUGCCCCCUGGACCUCAGUUUCCCUGUUACUGAGAGAAGAUAGCACUGGCUCAGAGCAUCACUCUGAGAUUGCAUGUGAGCUUGGAGAAUCCUUAGAGAUACCCCACACUGCAGGCACCCUUACACAGUCCACUUCCAUCCACAUGCUAGUCACCCAGAAGCCCUGGGAGAUCUUCUAGCUUAUGGACAGGCUGUCCAGGGUUACAUUUCCAGAGCUGCCAGUCCUGGCUAAGGACAGGUGAGCGUGGAUGUAGAAGCCCCUCAGCUUCUUCUCCCUUUGGGCAACUAGUCAGAGACUUCGUGUCUUCCUUUGUUGACCUCCUAUGAUCACUUUCUCCAGUUCUCAAGUCCUGGUCAGGCCAUUACCCCAGAACGGCUGUUCUUUAUAAAUGCCUUUCUUUGUUCCUAGGCAGCAGAUUUUGGGGUGCUUGUCCCCAAAAUUUUUGUUGUUCUCUGUCUUCUGCCUGAACCAGUGUGCUUUCCAACUAUGGUAUCUCUGAGUCAGGUAACUUUGCUAAUCUGUGCAGCACACGCCUAAUGCUUGGAACUAAUCAUCGCUGUGUGCAAACAGGUGUGAGCUGGACCCUGCCAGCAGGUAUCAUUAUGUCUUUUCUCUGCUAAGAGCUGCAGGAGAGAAGCCCAGAGACUUUGGUGGCUGAGCAUGAUGAAGAAGGACAGCUGAUUAUCUGAGAACUUCUACCACGGGACCUUUGAUGAAUGUAUGUGGUCCUCCAGGGCAGAGGCUCUUGGGCUCGGUAUCCCAUGUGUCAGCGGGGCCUGAGUUUCCCUCCAUGAAAAUGAAAUCCCUGAACUUGGUCAUUUACCCGGAGUUCUGACAUGGGUCUCUGAGCUGGAGUCUGCUGCCGGGUUGGUGACCAGUGGCAUAUGGAUUUGGAGACAGAAGUAGGGACUGUGAUGGUAUCUAGAGGAGAGAGGUUUGCAGAGGGGCAGACACUGGCCAUUGGUAGCUGGCUAUUGACUUUCUGUAGUGUGGGAAGCUCCUUGUCUUCUGGUCAGGUUUUGUUCCCAUGUGUGAACUUGCAGAGCAAGAGACUUUCACAGGCUGCAUUGGAAAGGGGUAGUCUUCUUGGAUCUUAGGCUUGGAAGAUCCAUAGGUUUUGUUCCCCCAGAGAAGGGACUUACAUGUCUCCCACAUUCUAGCUCCCUUUCCCUGUCCUGUAGGCACAGGAAAAGUUUAAAGAUGCUUGCAAAGGGCUUGAAGAAUUGCAGUGCUGAUACCAACACCUUGCCAGUGAAGGGGUCCCUGCAGAUGAUCACCCCAUUUUUUUACAUGCUGUUGGCCUGGAUGGCCAAGACAAGGGGCUACUUUGCUGCUUGGGCCAAAGGGGCAUGUGUCUUUCUUUAUGUUGGCCACUUGGGCCUUGGCUGGCAGAAAUGGGCUGUGGUCAUGGUAUGCUCAUUCCAACUAGGAGAAAUCCAAGGCCCCAGCUCUGCUGGGGCUUCAGUAGCUAGCUGUCCAUAUGACAGCUCUUCUUUAUUUGGUAAAGAGAACAGAGCUCUUAAGACAUGACCACUAGGGCAUCUUAUGGCUUUUGGUGAACCUCACCUCCCAUUUCUUUCCAGGAACACUGAUCUGGAGUCAAGAUAAGGACUGGCCUGUUCACCUUGGUCUCCAGAAUCUGGGCAACCAUUCUCAGCUUCAGUGUUUGUUCUCAGCAACGAGGAGGGCAGGCGCCUUUGUACUCCACAUUUGCCUGUGACUUGAGUCCCACAUGGUGGUGCGGAUACUUGGGAUAAUAAGGACAGAUAAAAGCCAUGUGUGUUGGUGCACACGUUUAAUCUCAUCACUUGGGAGGUAGAGACGGGUGGGUUUCUGCAAGUUGGAGGCCAGCCUGGUCUACGUAGUGAGUUCUCAGAUAGCUAGAGCUACAUAGUAAGACCCUGUCUUAGAAAAACAAACAAACAAGCAAACUAAAGCUUUGACAAGGGGAGAGAGUCAGACAAAGCUGACAGCCUUCCCCAUCUACUGAUUAUGUCUCCACGUACCUGCCUUUGACAGACACUGUCUCACCCAGCAGUGUCUUCUUGACCUUCUGCCUCAGUCCGGUGCUUCAUAUAGCAGGAGGUAGAACAAGCUGAGACUCAGAUGUUUAUAACACACCGUGGAUCUGAGAGCCGGUCCCAAGGACCCUCAAGUUGAAAAUAAAGUAACUUUGGACUUUCAUUUUCUGGACUGUCCAUUUUCAUAAAGACUUGAAGGUUAAUGACAUGAAUUGAAGAAGAAUGGGUUAACCAAAUGGAGUCCCCCCCCAUGGUAGGCUGUGAUCUAUGAAGUUUUAUGACCCUGUAGCAAGCCUUGGCAAAUGCCAGGAAAAUGAAGAAAGGGUGACAGGCAGAGAGGCAGCUCAGCAGUCAGGUAGGCUUGAUGCUCUUGCAGAGGAUCUGGGUUGGGGUCCUGCCUCUACUUUAUAUCCUAAGGCUCUUCUUUGUGGCACUGAUGGCUGCUCUUAGAGAUGCCCUGCUUGGUCCACGUGUUCUGGCUGCGAACUCAAUGGAUUAAGUGCUGUGUGCUUGGCCUUCUUCGAAGGUCUUGCUUCCUGUCUCUGGACAACUGCUGUCUGCACACAGCUCAGAAAACAGGUCCAGCAGGUUGUACGUCCCAAUCAGCAAGGAUUGGACAGGCUUAGGUCUUCCAUUGCCGUCUUCUGUGGUGGCAGCAAGGGCUCUGGCUGCCGUGGAGUCCUGCUACUCUAGGGAGGUUGGGCCCUGCUCAGGUGUGGCACUAGCAUCAGAUUUUCUCUUUAGGGUCUCUCUACCUUUAGAGCAGCCCAUUGAUGUAAGUAUGCCUGCCAUGCCGUCAAAGAGGAAAUCUUACCUCUGUUCACAACUAAGUACACAAAGGGCAGGAACUCCACUUGGCAAAUGGCCCUGUUUACUCGGGGCUGCCUUCUCUGAACUCAGACAAAGUUCAGGUGUAGUUGCUUGCAGAUAUGGGGGCUUUGAGUCCCUAGAGCACUUCAUGGCCUGCAUACCUCAGCUUUGAUCUACACCAGCAGGGCUUCACAGACAGCAGCAACUCAGUUGAGAACUGAAGGCCUCCUGGUACAAGCUAUCUCCUCCUGGGCUUAAGCCUCAGGACUACUCUGCCCCUUUUCUUAUCAAACAAAAAGAAUUUAUUGGAGGUUGUGACCAAGCUAUCCACAGGGAGAUCUUGGACUUUACCUUACAUGCAAGUAUGCUUCUGUCAGGUUCAGGCAGGCCCAGAUAGGGCUGACAACAGGGCAGGUGAUACAGUGAAGUGCUUCUACCUGGAGGUGCGUUUGUUCCUUACGACGACUGGUAAUGAAGUACUGUGUUAGUCAGUUUUCCAUCCAUGUGCCAGAAAGCUGAGAAGAAAGCUUUAAAGAUGGCAAACCUGGCCUUGGCUCAUGGUUUCAGAUGUUUCUGUUCAUGGAGCCUUUGGCAGCAUAGUGCCAAGUGUGCAAGGGAAAGGAAGUGGCUUUCCCUGCGGCAGAGAGACACAGAAAGCAUGAAAACUAGCCAGUACAGUCAGGUUCCCCGUGAUGACACUUUCUCCCAGGUUCCACCUCCUAAAGGCCCCACGUCUUGGCAACCCUGUUAAUUGGGACACAGCUUAAAUUGCAUCGCCAUUCGAGGACAUUUCAGAUUUGAAGUCUCUUAGUACUUGUAUUACGCCAUUCAUUUCUUCUGCGCAUGGCUGGCUAACAGUGCUCACAGUUUAUUGUGCACAGCAUAGCACUUCUUGUGGUGUUUUCAUACUUGCACUAUUCUUGCGUGCGGUGCACUUUGUGCAAACUGACUCCUCUCAUCCUCUCAUGCCCUUCCUUCUCCCAGGUAACCAGCUCCCUUUGAACUCUAAUGUCCUAGUAUGCAUAUAUGUACAUCUACAUAUCUAUGUAAUAUGUAUGUAUAUACAGACAUGCAAUAGUGAAACUCUAAAAUCUAACAGGAAGCUCACAGCCUCAGAAUGGCUAUUCUAACUGCAUUAUUAGAACAUCUCAAUUGUCCAUUGAGAUGUAUAGAUUUUGGGUUAAUUUCACUGCAUGAAUUUUUAUUAGCAAGCUCUUUAUAAUAAAGUUUUAAUAAAUUUGAAAAAGUCCUUCUUUAUGUCUGAACAGAGCUACAUUACCCACCUAGGUCACACUUUCAUUCUCCGGGUGUUGUUGCUGGGCCCCUAGGCUGAUUCUGCACUAGGCUGCUCUAACUAAUACCAUAAUCAACACGGAAAAGAGGUCUCUGUGGUGUGCUCACCUGGAGUCCUUCAGGUAGGUACUGCGUGCACGGGAGGGCUGGGCCACAUGACAGUUCUCUAGCUGGUGUUUUUUGAAAGAUCCCCGUCCUGAUUUCCAUAGAAACUGCAUUACUUUACCUUCCCACCCGCGGUGAAUAGGCUUCCUCUUCUCCCACAUCCCAUCAGCCCUCGCUGUUUGUUUUCUCCCUGAUAGCCAAUCUGUGCGGAGUCAGAUGGAAUCACUGUAAUUCUGGUUUGCAUUUCCUUGACAGUUAAGGAUGCUGAACACUUCCUCAUCUUGGGCAGUUACUGCCCAUCCCUACUUUUUCUAUUGAGAGCUAUCUGCUCAGUUUCUUUGUGCACUUGCUAGCUGGAUGUUUGGUCUUUGUUUUUUGUUCUCUUUUAGGAGUUCUUCGUAGAUUCCACAGCAGCGAUCCCCUAGGCAUUCAUGUGUGUGGGUCUGUUUGGAAACAUGCUGUGUUGUACACCCAAACUCUCGGGGAGAAAAAGGCAACUUUUCUUCCUUGGCACACGACUGCUCCCAUCUGGACCCUGGGAUCUCACAGCCCCCGGUCCUCAGACGCAGCUAGAUGCCCUCCCUUUCUGGAUUAAGCAGCUGUCAUUUUCUAGUUGUUUGAACAUAGGAAGUUCACCAACACAGACUCAUGUCUCAGAACAGAGGUUUCUGGGUGCUCCAUUCAGCGUGGAGAUUCAUAGAAGGGUGGCCUUAUGUGUAGGAAGGAACACAGCCGCUGUGGGUACACAUGUCUAACUCUACACCUCUUUGUGCGUCCUGGGAAUAUGUUCCACUGGGAUUGACAGCAAGGUAGUGGACCUCGGCAGGGACUUCAGUCACAGGCACUCAGGGAGUAUCAGCUUCUCAAAACUUGUCUCUGGGAGGUAUUUUCCUGCCCCUUCCCACCAGCUCUGCUUUAAAAACAUCUUUCUGCGUGCUUUCUUACAGAUCUAGUAUGCUGGCUUCUGUAUUAACUUUGGAGUUUUGCUUGUCCAGUCUUGAUUCAUUUGGGACCAGUUCCUGACUUUGUAGACUUGGCUCUUUUUCACUUUCAGGGUUAGUGACAACCUCUUUCCUCUCUGCUCCUUGCCUUGUUAAAGAAAGGAAGGAAGCCAGUCCGUUGCAGAUGUCUUAGAGCAGUGGUUUUCAACCUGUGAGUCGUGACCCCUCUGAGGAUUAUUGAAUGACCCUUUUGCAUGUUUGCCUAAGACCAUUAGAAAACACAGAUAGUGAUAUCACAGCUCAUAACAGUAGCAAAAUUACAGUUAUGAAGUAGCAAUGGGAAUAAUUUAUGGCUGGGGUCACCAUAUGAGGAACUAUAAUAAAGGGUUGCAGCACUAAGAAGGUUGAGAACUGUCUUAGAGCUAGCAUUACUUCAUGGGCCAUUGCCUACACCCUGUGACUGUAUGUUGAGCUCUUUAUGCCAAGAUGAGAUGUGUGCCUGCUUAGAUGCAGCUGAUGCCUCUGUUUUAGGCACUUCUGUUUUGUCAGAUGAGGUAUCCAAGGCUGGAGUGGGGCAGGUGGCUGCAAAAGUCUACAGUUGUUUCAUUUUGGUCCCCAUGAAGCUUGUGUGUUGAUAUUUGCUUUGUUGCUCCCUGUGGCUUGCACUGUCCCAGGAACAUCAACUGACUGUGAGGAUGAGGAGGAAGCUGAGCAUCCCUGUUUCGCUGGCUUCAGGUGAUGGAAAUGGACAGAAAUGCACCCUUGGGCUGCAUCUUCCCCUGUGACACACCGAUUCCCUACAGUUUGACGUACAUUGUUAUUUUUCUUCUCUGAGUGCUUCACUUUGAUGGUUGGUCAGUGAGCUCUGAGCACAGCACAUGGAUCCCUGUCCUCAUCAUGCUCUGUCUAGGGGGAAGAUUAUGGCCAGGCCAGAGACAACCCCACCUCAUUCCAUUCCCUACCUCGAUAUUGAAAUCAUCUGUAACAAAACAUGGAUGUCAUGGUACCUGGAGCCUUCCCUGGCUCCUUUGCUGUGUGUAUGGGAACCCCUCAGAGCAGCAGCUUUGCUCUGCUGGCUGACGUGGCAUACAGGAAACUGCCAAGGUCUACUGACACUGUUACCUUCUACAGCAAUCUACUGAAUCUGUGUGUCUAUCUGCUAUGGUGCAGUGGGGCAGGUGCCUAUAAAAGUCUACAGUAGUUGCUUCAUUUUGGUCCCCACAAAGCUCAUGAGUGCAUCAACGGGUAGGCAGAAUACACCCAGUGCUGCCCUGUGAUUCUCCACAGUUGAUGUCCUGAGAUAGCCCAGAAAGAAACUCCCCUUGAAGACUGGCCAACACUGACAUGGAGGAGGGUAACACUCAAAGCUGCUGGAAGAACAGGCACAAGAAGAAAGAUUUGAGCCCUGGGCCUGGGUUCUUGUGUAUGUUCAGUAGCCCAAGCAAAGGCCAGACCACUAACCAGGGAGGGCUGAGGACUGUAGGCCAGGGCCACCAAGACUGGAGGUGCCUCUGUCCAUGGGAUUUCCUUACACGUAGAAACAUUUCAGAGUGUCUGAAGCCAAGGAGUGCCCCCUCCUUCCAGUCAAAUAUGAGGGCUUCUCGGGCUUCUGGGGAAGGUGGGAGGGGAUGAAUGCGAGCCGUUCACAGUUGUUCUGUUUGAGUUUUGCACAUAGGUUCUGCUUCGUGCACAUGUAGGUUGGGAGUCUACCUGGCUCGUCUCUUUCUCUCAAGGGCAAUGUUAAGUGAGUCUCAUUCAAGGCUAGUUCUCAUUUGGUCCUUGGUGACUGUGUUCCCUGGGGGCCUGAGAAGGCAGAGGCCCCAGGGUACCUGGGAUGGGGAGAUCCCUGUCAGCACUGAAUGCACAAUCAGGAUAGGGUUCAGCCGUGCUGGGCAGCAUGGUCACUGGAGACUUCCCCAGGCUGCUGCUGUGCCCUCUCCUGCUUCACUGUUCCUGUAGCAUUGUCUCAGGGAGCAAAGAAAGUGCAUAGACCUGGCGGUUCCCAGGAGAAGCUUUUCUGCAGUGGCCAUGGGGGCUGGGAGUUUCCCCCUGGUUAUUUCCUUAAAGCUCUGGGCCUGCAGGGCCGUGGCUCUCCUUGGGCCCAGACACUGUUAAUGAUUAACCUGUGAGCCUCUGGUGCUCAGUGUCCCCUCUCUCCUUGCACAUGAGCAGCCCUUGUUCUUGAACCUGAGCCAAGGAGUGCUGCAGAAGGGCACAGUCUGUUCAGGGGAGGAUGGAAGCCCAGGCCAUCCUGUAGAACUCUAGGAGGAGAUCAGAGGCUGGUCCUCAACACAGCUCCACCUUUGAAUUUAGCACUCUGGAAACCCAGAGACACUGCCAACCUCCAAGAGUCUGUGCAGAGGACUCUGGGACCCUUGCUCUCAGCUGCGUGAGGAUGCGUGUGUCCUGCCUGAGUGGCUUCCCUGUGGAAACAUCGCCUCUCUGCAUUGCCACCCUCUGUCCCCUCUGCUUACCUUCAGGGGGCGGGGCCUGCUAACAGGACAGUCUGGUUUGGGGACACCCUAUACUUGGAACCCACUCUAGCUGGAAUCAGGGUUCUUCUAUGGCUGGUAGCCUUUGCUUUUCUUCCCUUUCCCAUGGAGGAUUUCCCUGAGUUCAGCCAAGCCUGGGAGACCUUGGUGUUUCCACUUUCAUUGGCUGAGGCCACAUGCUAUGUGGCCUAUAAAAUCAGAGAUGUGAUGAGGGACCUUUUAGCAUCUCCCCCAGCUGCCUCUGCCUACCUGUUAGGCCUUUUGGCUGGGUGACAGAGCUCCUGGUGACUACUGCCCUGGCUAAGGGGGAGGUGAUGAGUUCCCUGAGGAAGUUGUUCCUUUGUUGUUCACAUUCAGCCUUCCUCACUGCUCACUCGGGGUGUGUGUGAGGGGUGGGUGAGGGCCAGUAGCAGGCUGAGGGUGUAACUAAAGGCAGGUAAGUUACAUCAACAAGUAUCACAGUGGCUCUGGGGCUGGGCCGGGCCGGGCUACCCCUUUCUGCUACCCCCUCACACAUUUUCCCCCUUCUAUUCUCCUCUGAUAAAGGCAAGUUCCUCCUCCCACCCAAAUCACCUCACCUUGACUGAACCACCAACCAAAGAUCACACAUGGGCUAGGCCUAGGCCUACCCGCUCAGACGUAAUACACGAGCAGCUUGGUCUUCAUAUGGGUCCCCCAACAACUGGAGUGGGGCUGACCCCAAAUCUGUUGCUGGCCUGUAGAUCCCAUCCCCCUAUCAGCUUCCUUUUAAAGAGUACUUCCUUCUAGAGAGCCCUUCCCCAGCUGCUAGUGUCUCUCAGCUUAGUUGGAAUUUCCCUGGUGGUCUUCAUCAAAACCAGUGCCACGGGUGUACAGAGGUUUCCCAGCAUGAGUUUUUAUGAGGCUCCACAUCUCUGCUUGGUACUGACGAGCACACCCAGGGCAGACUGACACGUGGUGGGUACCUGAUUGCCCUUCACUCCUUCUUUCGAAGACAACCUUACUAAAGGGAUUGGUUCUAGAUGUAGACUGAGAAGGCACAUUCCGGGAGGUAAGAGAGGCAUGAUGUCACAUCUUCCCGUGUAGUCGCUCUCUUCUGGACGGUGGUCUGACCUGUCAGCGUAGCAUGAUUAAGCAGAGGUUGUGAUGUGGUAUCAAUGCCCCAUCAGACCAGUACUGUGAGGACCAGUUGCUCCUUUGAGCCUGUGAGAGCAAUUGCCGAUGGUCUAUCUGCAGCCAUUCUCAGGGCUGCUCAGCUGGUCUAUUCAGCCAUCUUUGCUGGUUGUUUGGUCAACCAUUGUGGCCUCAACCUCCAGCCUCCAUUCCAGCUACUACCCUCUGACCUGUAUCCCUACAGCUUGGUUCUUGCUUCCCAUAUGGACAGAAUGUGAAUUGCUUUUCCUACCAGACCAGCUGGGUCUUUUGUUGGUCAUUUCAGCAUUGUGGAUGCUUGCACGAAGCAGAAGCCAGCUUCAGGCAUGGUCUAGUAACUUCCAGAGAACAUACUUGAUAUUCAGAUGUGAGCCCUGAUAACACAUGACACAGGGAGAUGUUGGGGGCCUUUCAGAGUUAAGAGAAUCCAGGUUCAUGGACACACAUUUUGGAAGCAAAUGUUAAAAGACUCUCCAUAGCUGUGAUAUAUUUUACUUUCAAGUAAAAAUUUCAAAGUUCUAAAAGGCAAAUUACUGUGAAUCCAGACAGGGCCCCUGUUAUUAAAAUCUUCCCUGUGGACCAUCCUGCCAUGAUGUUAUAAACUGUUCCUUAAAUUGUAUUUACAUUUUUUUAAUUGUAUGUUUGUGGGUACAUGUGCCAAGUUUCACUUGUGGAGGUCAGAGGACAACUUUGUGGCAUUGUUUUCUCUCUUACUUGGGUUCUGGGCACUGAAUUCAUGUUGUCAGGCUUGCACAACAAGUGGUUUUAUCUGCUGGGCCAUCUUUGACGGUGCAUCAGAAAGCUGGGCAACUGGGAGGUGCCAAUACGUCUUUGCCCCAUAACUAAGGAGCAUCACAGGAAAUCAAGCAGGUACAGUCUGUGAUGGUGCAGAAUCUCAGAGCUUUUCACAGUAAAGAAGCUGAGUUUUACCUCAGAGAAACAGGCACAAAGGGGCUUGGCAUACUCUGCCUCAUCCCUUAGUUUCAGCAGCUUGGAUAUAGAAAAGGUUCUUUCAAAGGGACUUUAUUACAGUCCCCCGCCAUCACUGCUGAUAUGGAGCUUCUAAGCAGAGAUACCCAGGGCUCAUGUCACAGUGGCCCUCAGAGAAUGAGCUCCUGCUGUCACUGCACCCACAUUCCCGAGGCUGCCAUCAUCUGGAUCCUGACAAAGUACUCUGUUCUGUCUUCUACAGCCAUGUUGCCAUAUGGCUGUGCUAAUUCUGGGGUAAGACAUAGCUAUGUAACGCCAUCCGGGGGCCUUACUGUCUCUGCCUUCUAUUUCCUGGCUCUGAGAUGCUGCAGACCUAGUUAAUGAAAAGAUAGCCACCAUUGUGCUUGUGUCCUAAUCACUGUGGCCCCAGUCACUGCUGAACCCUAGCAUCUCUGGGGUCUUGUUUCAAUGCACAAUGACAUCUCUUUCUGGGACAUCAGGGCUCUUGUCCUGUGCCUUCAAGGUCUGCACCACAAUGCUGAUAUUACACUGUAAGGGCCCGGGAUAAUAAUUUGCUCUUUCCUACCUUUAGGCUUUGAGUGAUAAUUGUGUAUCAACAUUUUCAGGACCCAUAUUUCCAUGGUGACUCACUUCUUGGGGUCUGAACCACUAGAGUCCCCUUAACCACCAGGGAGGAAUUGCUAAUGUGCUGUACCCUAUGGUGUCAAUAUGUUUGGAUACAUUCCAGAACACAGUCUCCAACUUUGUGAAAAACAUUCACAUACUUCUAACUAGAAAGGGAGCCUACAGUAAGAUGUCACAAGAAUUCUGCAAGCCAUAGCGUGUAAGACUUCUCUUAUGCAACCGCUCUGAGACCUUGUACUUGGGAACCUAAAAUCUCAAUCUAGAAUGUCCUCAGUUAGGACAAGGAGAAUAGGAGGACCCAUCAGUUUUUCCACUGAAGACCUCAAUGGCCCUUGCUGCCAUAUGAUGGUCACUCUAAACACCUCAGCUGUGGCUGGGACUCCUAUACUCUUCACUGUCACUGUUUUCAACAGACAAAGCAGAACAAAGACUUUACCACUCACCCCUGGAAUCAGAGCUGCCACACUCCACCAACUGGCACCAUAUAUGCAAAUGAAUGAGACUGACACCAGUCAUCAAUGUGUGGUCACAAGAAACAUGAAAAUUCAAGGAAUUGUGAUAUCACUCAGGAGAAGCAUACUUUAAUAACUGACACCAAAGAAAUGGAAAUAUAUGAAUUAGCUGUAAGGGCCUAAAAUAAUUAUGUUAUGAGAGCUCAACAAGACACAAGAAAAUAUAGGCACGUGGUUCAAUGAAAUCAGGAAAAGGAUAUAAAGAUAGUAUGAUGAAUUUAUCGAAGGGUUAGAAUUUAUAAACAAAUAAAAACAAAAUAUAGUAUUAAAUAAAAUACUCUAAAUAAAUAAAUAAAAUAGUUUUAAUAAAAUAGAAUAUAGUCUAUGAAUUUUGAAAUGGGUUUUUAAAAAUUAUCUAGUGAGAGAACAAAAACAAAUGAAAAAGUAAAGAACGUCUCUGAAACUGAAAACCAAAAAGCUCAGCUGAGAGAAUUGGAAACAGGUGUGGGGUGGAUAAAGAAGGAGCGGUUCUAGUCCCCGUUUUAGUGCUGUGAAGAGACUCCAUGACCAUGGCAACUCUUGUAAGUGUUGAACACAUUUAAUUAAGAACUUGUUUACAAUUUCAGAGGCUUAGUCAAUGUCUUAGUGACUCUUUUAAGAACAACAUUAAUUGGUUCACCAUUUAACAGGUUCAGAAGUUCAGUCCAGUAUCAUCAAGGCAGGAGCAUGGCAGUAUCCAGGUAGGCAUGGUGCAGGAGGAGCUGGGAGUUCUACAUCUUCAUCUGAAGGCUGCUAGAAGACUAGCUUCCAGGCAGCUAGGAUCAGGGUCUUAGAGGCCAUGACCACAGUGACACACCUACUCCAACAGGACUAACAUCUUCUAACAGUGCCACUUAAGUGUUAAGCAUAUACAAACCAUCACAAUCAAUUAUCAACAUGGUGGAGAGCACGGUGGUAGGUGUGGCAGGCAGGGCAGCAUGGUGUUGGAGAAGCAGUUGAAAGCUACAUCCUGAUCUUCAAGCUGAAAGAAAGACACUGGGCUUGGCAUGGGCUUUUGAAAACUUAAAACCCAUCCAUAAGGACACACUUCCUCCUAAUCUUUCUAAUCCUAUCAAUUAACACCACUCCCUGGUGACUAAGCAUUCAAAUACACGAGCCUACAGGGCCAUUCUUAUUCAACCACUACAGAAAAAGAAUGACUGAAAACCUCCCAGAAACCCAGGAAAGCUACAGAGGGAUUUCAAAGGCAUCAGAUAGAUGUAACUCAAAGAGGUGUUCACUGAAACUCAUUAUACUUAAACUGUAGCAGUCAAGAAUAAAGAGAAUUUUGAAAGUAACUAAAGAAAAGUAGUGUGUCACAAUCAAGAGAAUCCUCCUUACUGCAAGCGUGUUCUCAGCAAACCCCUCUGGUCAGGAGAGAAUGGAAUGACAUAUUCCAAGUGCAGACAACAGCAGCUACAACAAUCACCUGUCAACAACAGUAGUUUUUAUCUGGCAAAACUUUCUAUCAGACGUUAAGGGGAGAUACUGGUUUUUCUCUAAAGCUGAGGGAAUUCAUCAUCAGUAGACCCCUCAAUGAGAAAAUACUAAAUGACCGCUUCCAUGAUAACAAAGCGAUGCUGACAACUAACACAACAGAUGGAGACGUGACAUUUACUGAUGAAGGCAAUCUAAAUCCGAGUUUAGAGCAAAACUGCAGUGGGGAUGUAUAAAUCUUUAAAAAAGAAGAUUCAUUUAUUUAUUUAAUGUAUAGAAAUACACUGUAGCUGUCUUCAGACACACCAGAAGAGGGCAUCGGAUCCCAUUACAGAUGGUUGUGACCCACCAUGUGAUUGCUGGGAAUUGAACUCAGGACCUCUGGAAGAGCAGUCAGUGUUCUUAACCACUGAGCCAUCUCUCCAGCCCCAAGAAAAACAUCUUAAUUGUGGAAAGGAUCAUUCCCUGGAUGGGGUUUCUGGAUUGUAUAAAGUGAAGAAUAUAUGACAACUAUUAUAAUGUAUUUAUCUCUUUCAACUUCUUAACUGAAGAAGCAAUGGGACCAGCUUCAUUAAGAUAUAGAUGCUGUGACUGCCUGUAAUAAUGGACAGUGUCUUAGUUCGAGUUUUACUGCUGUGAACAGACACCAUGACCAAGGCAAGUCUUAUGAAGGACAACAUUUAAUUGGGGCUGGCUUACAGGUUCAGAGGUUCAGUCCAUUAUCAUCAAGGUGGGAGCAUGGCAGUAUCCCGGCAGGAAUGUGCAGGAUGAGCUCAGAGUUCUACAUCUUCAUCUGAAGGCUGCUAGCAGAAUGUUGGCUUCUAGGCAGCUAGAAUGAGGGUCUUAAAGCCCACACCCACAGUGCCAUGCCUACUCCAACAGGGCUACAGCUUCUAAUAGUGCCACUCCCUGGGCUGAGUAUAUACAAACCAUCACAGAUGAUGACUCUGACCUGUGAGCCAACAUUACCUUCCUCUCUUUACUUCCUGUAGUGGUGGACAGUGACCUGGACCUGUGAGCCAAUAGAACUCUUCCUCACUAAAGUUGUUUUUGUCAGGGACUUUGUCUCAGCAACAAGGAAAGGUAGCUAUACUAUAGUAACUGAUUUUUCUAUUACUGUCAUAAAGCAUCAUGUUGAGAAACUUAUGUAAGAAAGAGUUUAUUUAGGCUCAUGGUUCUAGUGGGUUAUAGUCCUUGAUGGCAGAGCAGAGGGAGCAGGAUUAGACAUAGCAGCUGGAACAGAAGCUGAGGGCUUAUAUCAUGAACAGCAAGCACAGAGCAGAGAGAGCAAACUGUAAAUGAUGCAUGACUUUGAAGCGCUAAGCUUUCCCCAAGCAACAAACUUUCCUCAGCAAAACCACACCUCCUAAACCUCCCCAAACAGCACCACCAAUUGUAGAUAAAGUGUUCAGACGUCUGAGCCCAAGGGGAUACCUCAUUCAAACUACCAUAUCUUCAUGCACAUAUAAAAUUUUAUAUGUUGAAAAUUGUGACUUUAGAAGUAUUAAAUGUUUGGGACAACCAAAAAUAUAAUUUUUGUAUAUGAUUGAAAACAAACUUCUUAAUUGGAAAUAGAUUGGUUUAGUUUUAAAAUGUUUUCACUGUUCUCACAAUAACCAUGAAAGAUUAAAAAGCAACCAGAAUUGAUAUAUAGGAAAUACUUAAAAGACAUAAGACUUCAAAUAUAUUACUGUACAAUAUUUGGAGGGGGUAGAGGGAGAGAGGGGCGAGGGAGAGAGAGCAAGGAGGGGGAAGGAAAGAGAGAGGAAAACCAAAAAAAAAAUAGACAGAAAAUAAUAUGAUUUCAGUAGUAAACCCUUACUUAUCAAGUCAUUAGACUUUUAACCCAGAUGGACUGCGUUUUCCUAUUACAGUAGUAGCUGUAAAAACACAUAUCUAACUAUAUGCUGCCUACAAGAAACUCACCCAGCUACAAAGACAGGGGUAGGCUGGAAAUGAAAGCAUGGAAAAGAUAUUCCUUGCAAAUAGUAACCAAGAGAGAAAUGAAAAAAUUGUUUAAUAAUACAAGAGUAAAUUCAUAAAAUAUGAGAAUAAUAAAUAUUUAUAUAUUUAACUUCAGAAUACCUAAAUAUUAAAGUUAAGGUUAUUGACAUAGUUGAAAGGAAAUAAUAGUAAUAAUAACAGCAACAGCAACAACAAUAACAGAAUUUCAUAUUCUACUUUCAACAGGAGAGAAAUCAAGAUAGGAAGGAUUUUAAUAACAUUAGACCAAAUGGCCCAAACAGACAUGUACAGCAGAUACUACCAAACAGCAGCAGAAAACACAUUCUUCUCAAAUCCACACAGAAUAGUCACCAGGGCAGGUUACAGCAUAGCCUAUGCAAUACAUCUUAACACAAUGUUGCAUAAAAUGUUAUACAGUUAUAUGUUCAUUAUUGGAUAAUGUAGAAAAAAUGUACAGAUUCCUAGAUACAUUCAACUCACGAAAUCGAAGACAAGAAGAAACAGAAAAUUUGAAUACACUACCAAUAAUUAGGGAGGAUAGACCAGAAAUCAAAUACCUCCCAGCAAAGAAAAUUCAGGGAGCUGAUCAAUUUACAGGUGAAUUUGACUUAUCACUCAGAAGAAUGAACACCAACCCUUCAUUAAAUUCUUUAAAAGCUAGAAGGAGUACUAAGUUCAUUUUACAAAGCUAGCAUUACCCAGUAUCAAAGCAGACAAGGACAGCACAGGAAAGAAAACUACAAGCAGAGAGAGACAAAGUUACCACAUAAAGUUAAGACCGACCUAGCUAAAAAGGAUCACACACUAUGAUAAAGUGGGAUUUGCCCUUGGAAUGUAAGGAUGGAUCAAUAUUUCCUAAUAAACCAUAUGAUAAACUCAACAGCGGUAGAAAAAGCAUCUGAUAAAAUUCAACAUCCAUUUAGGGUAAACAUUGAGGUUUAAUAGAAAUAUACCUCAAUGCAAAAAAGGCAUUUCAUAGCAAGUCCACAGAUGAGCAGAUGAAAACAUCAUGUGUAUUGGGCAAAGUUAAAAGACUUUCCUCUUACGAUCAGAAACCAGAGAAGGCACUUAUACUACUUGUUUCUACUUGACCUUCUAGAAAUCUUAGCCAGAUGAAGUAGGCAAGAUAAAGCAGCCAAGUCAUUCAAAUUGUAAAGUAAUUUCUGUUUGUAGAAACAUGAUUUUUAAUAUAGAAAAAAACUCCAAAGACAAGACAAGAGUAUGUUGUAAUAAAUUAACUCAGUAAAGUCCCAGGAUAAAAAAUGCAGUUAUAUACUUCUAUAUAUUGAAAAGGAGCCACCUGUGAAUGGAAUUAGUAGUGAAGUAACACAACAUAAAAGAAUAGUAGCAACCAGUCCAACUGAAGGAGGUGAGCAAUCUAUACACUGAACACUAUAAAAUUGGUAAAAUAACUUUUAAGAGAUAAGUAAAUGGGGAAAUAUUUCAUAUUUUCAUAUUUAUAACAUAUUUUAAUGUUUUUGAAAGCUUUCUUCUUAGCCUUAUUUCUUUCCUUGUCCAGGCCCCCUUUGACUCUCAUGUAAGCCUUUAAAAAAAAUCUCAAGUCUGAAAUAUGAUACUUGUUUUUUGGCUUCUUUCGGUUAAAACACAUAACUUUCAGCUCCAAUUCCUUGCAUAUGAUGUAAUCUGUUCUCCUAUAUUUUAUUUUAAUUUAUUAUUGUUGUUGUUGUUGCCGCCAUUAUUGUUAUGUGUAUACACACAGGGAGGUCAGAGGAUCGUUUUAGAGAGUUGGUUCUCUCCGUUCACAUGGGUCUUAGAGGUCAAGUUCAGGGGUCAGGCUUGGCAGCAGUGUCUUUACUAACUCUGUCACCUUGCUCCCCAGUUUUCUCCUUUGUGGGUGAAUAAACUCCAUUGUGUACACAUGUGCAGGCAUAUAUAUGUAACACACGUGAACAUGCAUCACAUUUUCUCUAGCCAUCCAUCCACUGAUGAACCUUAAGCCAAUUCCGUAAUAUUGCUAUAGUGAAUCCUGCCCCAGUGACUAAGGUGGGUUGUGGGCAUCCCUAUUGUACUCUGAUUUUGGUUACUUCCUGUGUAUGGCCAGGAGUGCCACAGCAGGCAUCCUAACAGGCCAUUCUAUUAAGUACUUUCAACGAAUCUCCAUGCUCACUUUAUGGCGGUUGGACUGAUGUCUGUUCCUACCAAUGGUGCACAUGCUGCUGUCCUUGACAGCCUUUGUUUGCUUUCUUGAGGACAGCCAUCUUGGCUGAACUGAGGUGGUGGGAGUGGGGAGUCUCAAAGGUUUGAUUGUCAUUUCUUCCAUGGUUGAAGACAGUGAGUAAUUUUUGGGUGUAUUUCUUGGCCAUUUGUACUUCUGAGAACUGUAUGGUCAGUUCAUUUGCCAAAAGCAUGUUGUAUGCAUCUGUAAAAAUGUCAUGAAGCCAAUUUUUUGCAUAAUUAAUAUACAUCAAUAAAAGUUUAACAAGGCCAUUACU